AUAGAAGGGCUCCUCCACUGGGACUUCAACCCCAGCCUCAAGGUCGAGGACCAGGUUUGUAGGCGUUUCAGAUCCACGGUUCAUUUCUCCCCGGCCUCGUCCUCCAAGGAGUUCUUCUUGGUGGUCACGUUUUCUUCUGCCUCUUUCCCCUUGUCCUGUGCAUCGGUUGGUUUGGCCCUACAAUGUUGCAUC
rnacentral:rRNA from 1 species